rnacentral:misc_RNA from 1 species
GAAAUGCGAUAAGUAAUGUGAAUUGCAGAAUUCAGUGAAUCAUCGAAUCUUUGAACGCACAUUGCGCCCGCCAGUAUUCUGGCGGGCAUGCCUGUUCGAGCGUCAUUUCAACCAUCAAGUCCCCGGCUUGUGUUGGGGACCUGCGGCUGCCCGCAGGCCCUGAAAACCAGUGGCGGGCUCGCUGUCACACCGAGCGUAGUAGCAUACAUCUCGCUCAGGGCGUGCUGCGGGUUCCGGCCGUUAAAAGCCUUUUUUUACCCAAGGUUGACCUCGGAUCAGGUAGGAAGACCCGCUGAACUUAAGC